UACGUAGGUGGCAAGCGUUGUCCGGAUUUACUGGGCGUAAAGAGCGCGCAGGCGGCGCGGUAAGUCUGAUGUGAAAUCUCCCGGCUUAACUGGGAGGGGUCAUUGGAAACUGCCGAGCUUGAGGCGAUGAGAGGGGUGUAGAAUUCCCGGUGUAGUGGUGGAAUGCGUAGAUAUCGGGAGGAAUACCAGUGGCGAAAGCGGCACCCUGGCAUUAGCCUGACGCUCAUGUGCGAAGGCGUGGGGAGCGAACGGG
rnacentral:rRNA from 1 species